CCUACGGGAGACUGCAGUGAGGAAUAUUGGUCAAUGGGCGAGAGCCUGAACCAGCCAAGUCGCGUGAAGGAUGACGGCCCUACGGGUUGUAAACUUCUUUUGUCAGGGAGCAAUUGGGUCCACGCGUGGGCUUAGCGAGAGUACCUGAAGAAAACGCAUCGGCUAACUCCGUGCCAGCAGCCGCGGUAAUACGGAGGAUGCGAGCGUUAUCCGGAUUUAUUGGGUUUAAAGGGUGCGUAGGCGGAAUAUCAAGUCAGCGGUAAAAAUUCGGGGCUCAACCCCGUCGUGCCGUUGAAACUGAUGUUCUUGAGUGGGCGAGAAGUAGGCGGAAUGCGUGGUGUAGCGGUGAAAUGCAUAGAUAUCACGCAGAACACCGAUUGCGAAGGCAGCAUACCGGCGCCCAACUGACGCUGAAGCACGAAAGCGUGGGUAGCGAACAGGAUUAGAUACCCUGGUAGUC
rnacentral:rRNA from 1 species